rnacentral:rRNA from 1 species
UACGGAGGGUGCGAGCGUUGUCCGGAAUCACUGGGCGUAAAGGGCGCGUAGGCGGCCUGAUAAGUAGGGGGUGAAAUCCUGCGGCUUAACCGCAGGGCUGCCUUCUAAACUGUCAGGCUGGAGCACAGUAGAGGCAGGUGGAAUUCCCGGUGUAGCGGUGGAAUGCGUAGAGAGUCGGGGAAGAACAUCAGUGGCGAAGGCGGCCUGCUGGGCUGUUGCUGACGCUGAGACGCGGAAAGCGUGG